rnacentral:rRNA from 1 species
GGAGCCCUACGGGAGGCAGCAGUGAGGAAUAUUGGUCAAUGGCCGGAAGGCUGAACCAGCCAAGCCGCGUGAAGGACGACGGUGCCAAGCAUUGUAAACUUCUUUUGUCAAGGGACAAAAUCAGGCUCGAGAGCCUGACCGAGGGUACUUGAAGAAAAAGCAUCGGCUAACUCCGUGCCAGCAGCCGCGGUAAUACGGAGGAUGCGAGCGUUAUCCGGAUUUAUUGGGUUUAAAGGGUGCGUAGGCGGGCUGUUAAGUCA